rnacentral:rRNA from 1 species
UACGUAGGGGGCGAGCGUUGUCCGGAUUUAUUGGGCGUAAAGAGCGUGUAGGCGGCCAGGUAGGUCUGCUGUGAAAACUCGAGGCUCAACCUCGAGACGUCGGCGGAAACCAUCUGGCUAGAGUCCGGAAGAGGAGAGUGGAAUUCCAGGUGUAGCGGUGAAAUGCGUAGAUAUCUGGAGGAACACCGGUGGCGAAGGCGGCAUCCUGGACCAACACUGACGCUGAGGAGCGAAAGCCAGGGGAGCAAACGGG